rnacentral:rRNA from 1 species
GGGUGCAAACGUUGUUCGGAAUUACUGGGCGUAAAGGGCGCGUAGGCGGUCAACUAAGUCAGAUGUGAAAUCCCUCGGCUCAACCGGGGAACUGCGUCUGAUACUGGAUGGCUUGAAUUCGGGAGAGGGAUGCGGAAUUCCAGGUGUAGCGGUGAAAUGCGUAGAUAUCUGGAGGAACACCGGUGGCGAAGGCGGCAUCCUGGACCGAGAUUGACGCUGAUGCGCGAAAGCCAGGGGAGCAAACGGG